rnacentral:lncRNA from 1 species
CAUGAACAGAGAUGUCCUGGAGAGAGACCCGUGAUCUUCCAGCCACGUCUUCCCUGCCCCCUUCUCUGUUUCCAGACGGGUAAUGAGUGACAGCCUGCAUAGCAUCACAGAUAGGGACAGAGAUAAGGAAAGGUCCUCGUCACUGGGCUGGACCUGACCGUGUCCUGUUUGCGCCGAGGUUACACGGGACACCCUGCCAGACCACAGAGGUCCCCCACCGUGUCUUGGAAUGCUUGUUUAACGUAGGCAAUAGGAACCCCCCAGGAAGGCACAUGUUCCUGACGGUCCUACGGAGAAACAGUGGGGCGGGGGCCAAGGUUUGAGCACCCAGGUGCUUGCUGCUGCCCCUUCUGUUUAACAUACUCAGCCAGCACAGGCCCACGCCUGACCUUGAGGUGUAGAAACCGUUGGAGAAGUCUUGGUCCCAGGUGGGCCCUAAGUGAGCAUGGGUGCAGGCCAGGUGUGGGCUCCAGUCCUUGUGCUUCCUGUGCCCCUCCCUGGUUCCCAUGUCUUCCGUGACAAGCUACCACACACGCAGUGGCUUCAAGCAACACCAGUAUGUCACCUUUCAGCUCCGGCGGUCAGUUCAGAAUGGUCUCACUUGCUGGAAACCAAGGAGUCGGUGGGGCUGCCCUCCCUCCGGAGCCUCUCGGAGACUCCAGGGUUGGGAUGUGGAACAUCCCCCAGAGGGCAUGUGUUAAAGAUGUGGUCCCCAGGGAAGCCACAGGACUUCAGUUGAUGGGGCUGGUAGAGGUCCUUGGGUCAUGGGGUGUGUUCUCAGGGACCCGGGGAUCUGGCCGCUUCCUCUUCUGCCUCCCAGCCACGCUCUCCUCCGGGACAGCUGCCUCCGUACAGGCCCAGGACAGUGCAGCCAGCCCCUCGGAGCCGAGCCUCCAACCCAGUGAAGACUCAUGGGCUUCACACCUGUGGAUUGAACCCAUGAAAACUGCGUCUGUGGCUUGGGGGUGCGGCGCAGUGACGCAGCGAGUGCCUAGCGGUGCAAGGCCCUGGGUUUGGUCCCAGCACCUCACAGACCUGCAUCUCUGCCAGCCACAUCCAGGUUGUUUCCUUGUUAUAUCCAUAAACAACGCAGUAUGAGGACACCCAUGUGCUGCACGUGGGGGUGAUGUGCGUCACGGGAGGAAGCGCCAGGUCGCAGGAGAGGUCUGUGCCCUUUGCUGAAGGCACCAGCACCAGCCACCUAUGGACACUGAGAGUACUGAAGGCAAGAGCUGCCCUGUCCUGGGAUCAGAGGAAACUUGCACGUUUACCUGGGUGCUGCUCAGGGUGUCCUGAGCACAGGGCUCCUCCCAUACAUGUGCACUCUGCCGUCCCGGCUCAGGCCCGUGGGUCUGAACCUGAUCUAAGGAGCACGGAGUUCUCCAGAUGGUGCUUUUAGAACAGUGGUUCUCAGCUUUGCAUGUUAGAAUUGCCCAGAGAGCUCUAAACACACCAAGAUGCUAGUUUAAUUAAUCUGGGAGUCUGAAUUCCUAAAAUGUUCCCAGGUGAAUUGAGAGGCUGAGGACUGCUGGUAUAAGAGCUGUUUUCUCCAAGUACGUAGCCACCAGCCACAUAUAGCUACUUAAAUUUAGACUAAAUAAAAGAUUCACCUUGUUGGUCAGAUGUGGUGGUGCACACCUGUGAUCCUAGUGACUUGGGAGGCUGAGGCAGGAGGAUUGCAAGUUUGAGGCCAGUCUGGGCAACUUAGAUCCUCAAAAUAAAAAGAGCUGGGGAGGUAGCUCACUGGUAAAGCGCCUCUGAGUUUAAUCUCUAGUAUCCAAAAAAAAAAAAAAGUUGUCAGUUCUGGCCACAUUUCAAGCCCUCAGUAGCCACCUGUGGCUACUGCUUAUUAGACAGUGCACAGGUCAGAUUAUUUCCAUCAUGUUGGAAAGUCCUAGUGCAUAGUGUUGCUCAAGAGGACUGAGCUCAGAGAUGGCUCCGUCCUGAUGAAGGAGGAGGGCACCUUAGAGGUGAGAGGUAAGUGGGCACUUUUGCAAUCCUUUAUCCAAAGUACAUGUGUGAAGACACGCACUGAGUGUCCACAUACUUCAUAUACAAGAAGAUACGAAAAAUCGUGGUACAUAUGUGUAAUGAGAAUUGCAAUGCCAAAACCACAAAAAACCCAAAGUACAUGUAUAACGACAUGGAUCGGCAUGAACAUACUUCAUACAAAGGUACGAAAAACUGUGCUCUAUAUGUGUAAUAGGAAUUGCAAUGCAUUCCGCUGUCAUGUAUAAG